AACGAACGCUGGCGGCAUGCCUAACACAUGCAAGUCGAACGAGACCUUCGGGUCUAGUGGCGCACGGGUGCGUAACGCGUGGGAACCUGCCCUUAGGUUCGGAAUAACUCCCCGAAAGGGGUGCUAAUACCGGAUAAUGUCUUCGGACCAAAGAUUUAUCGCCUUUGGAUGUGCCCGCGUUGGAUUAGCUAGUUGGUAGGGUAAAAGCCUACCAAGGCGACGAUCCAUAGCUGGUCUGAGAGGAUGAUCAGCCACACUGGGACUGAGACACGGCCCAGACUCCUACGGGAGGCAGCAGUGGGGAAUAUUGGACAAUGGGCGAAAGCCUGAUCCAGCAAUGCCGGGUGAGUGAUGAAGGCCUUAGGGUUGUAAAGCUCUUUUACCCGGGAUGAUAAUGACAGUACCGGGAGAAUAAGCUCCGGCUAACUCCGUG
rnacentral:rRNA from 1 species